GAGGGCAUAGCUCAGUGGUAGAGUGCAUGCUCAGCAUGCAUGAGGUCUUGGGUUCAAUCCCCAGUUCCUCCA
rnacentral:tRNA from 1 species